GGCGAACGCUGGCGGCGUGCCUAAUACAUGCAAGUUGAGCGCUGAAGGUUGGUACUUGUACCGACUGGAUGAGCAGCGAACGGGUGAGUAAAGCGUGGGGAAUCUGCCUUUGAGCGGGGGACAACAUUUGGAAACGAAUGCUAAUACCGCAUAAAAACUUUAAACACAAGUUUUAAGUUUGAAAGAUGCAAUUGCAUCACUCAAAGAUGAUCCCGCGUUGUAUUAGCUAGUUGGUGAGGUAAAGGCUCACCAAGGCGAUGAUACAUAGCCGACCUGAGAGGGUGAUCGGCCACAUUGGGACUGAGACACGGCCCAAACUCCUACGGGAGGCAGCAGUAGGGAAUCUUCGGCAAUGGACGAAAGUCUGACCGAGCAACGCCGCGUGAGUGAAGAAGGUUUUCGGAUCGUAAAACUCUGUUGGUAGAGAAGAACGUUGGUGAGAGUGGAAAGCUCAUCAAGUGACGGUAACUACCCAGAAAGGGACGGCUAACUACGUG
rnacentral:rRNA from 1 species